rnacentral:rRNA from 1 species
AGCUCCGUGCCGUGAGGUGUCGGGUUAAGUCCCAUAACGAGCGCAACCCCUACCUUUAGUUGCCAUCAGGUAAUGCUGGGGACUCCAAAGGAACUGCCUACGCAAGUAGUGAGGAAGGCGGGGAUGACGUCAAAUCAGCACGGCCCUUACGUCCAGGGCUACACACGUGCUACAAUGGCCGAUACAGAGGGCAGCUACCUGGUGACAGGAUGCAAAUCUCCAAAGUCGGUCUCAGUUCGGAUCGGAGUCUGCAACCCGACUCCGUGAAGUUGGAUUCGCUAGUAAUCGCGCAUCAGCCAUGGCGCGGUGAAUACGUUCCCGGGCCUU